rnacentral:rRNA from 1 species
AGUCUGCCUUGAAGAUCGGAGUGCUUGCACUCUGUGAAACAAGAUACAGGCUAGCGGCGGACGGGUGAGUAACACGUGGGUAACCUGCCCAAGAGAUCGGGAUAACACCUGGAAACAGAUGCUAAUACCGGAUAACAACAGAUGAUGCCUAUCAACUGUUUAAAAGUUGGUUCUGCUAUCACUCUUGGAUGGACCUGCGGUGCAUUAGCUAGUUGGUAGGGUAACGGCCUACCAAGGCGAUGAUGCAUAGCCGAGUUGAGAGACUGAUCGGCCACAUUGGGACUGAGACACGGCCCAAACUCCUACGGGAGGCAGCAGUAGGGAAUCUUCCACAAUGGACGCAAGUCUGAUGGAGCAACGCCGCGUGAGUGAAGAAGGGCUUCGGCUCGUAAAGCUCUGUUGUUGGUGAAGAAGGACAGGGGUAGUAACUGACCUUUGUUUGACGGUAAUCAAUUAGAAAGUCACGGCUAACUACGUGCCAGCAGCCGCGGUAAUACGUAGGUGGCAAGCGUUGUCCGGAUUUAUUGGGCGUAAAGCGAGUGCAGGCGGCUCGAUAAGUCUGAUGUGAAAGCCUUCGGCUCAACCGGAGAAUUGCAUCAGAAACUGUCGAGCUUGAGUACAGAAGAGGAGAGUGGAACUCCAUGUGUAGCGGUGAAAUGCGUAGAUAUAUGGAAGAACACCGGUGGCGAAGGCGGCUCUCUGGUCUGUUACUGACGCUGAGGCUCGAAAGCAUGGGUAGCGAACAGGAUUAGAUACCCUGGUAGUCCAUGCCGUAAACGAUGAGUGCUAAGUGUUGGGAGGUUUCCGCCUCUCAGUGCUGCAGCUAACGCAUUAA